UGAUGGGUAGGGGAGCUUCCCAUACGGGUUGAAGCAUGACCGUAAGGACAUGUGGACAGUAUGGGAGUGAGAAUGUUGGCAUGAGUAGCGAGAUGUGGGUGAGAAUCCCACAGGCCGUAAACCCAAGGUUUCCAGGGGAAGGUUCGUCCGCCCUGGGUUAGUCGGAACCUAAGCUGAGGCCGAAAGGCGUAGGUGAUGGACAACAGGUUGAUAUUCCUGUACUACCGAUAACCAUUUGAGAGAAGGGAUGACACAGUAGGAUAAGCUAAGCACACUGUUGGUUAUGUGUGCCCAAGCAUUGAGGCAGUCAAAGUAGGCAAAUCCGCUUUGAUAAUGCUGGGAUGUGAUGGGGAGCGAAAUUUAGUAGCGAAGUAGCUGAUUUCACACUGUCAAGAAAAGUCUCUA
rnacentral:rRNA from 1 species